ensembl:lncRNA
GGAAUAUACCUUGCUUUAGUAAAAGGCAAGAAAACAAACAGAGUGAGAGUGCGAGGGCACGGAGUUCAAAGUGUGAGCCAGAGAAUGCCAGUAUGAGUUCCGCAUGGUGGUGGAAGCCCUUCAGAGAUCAGUAUAGCCCUUCAGAGGCGCUUUUAAGUCAGGGAGUUGUAUCUUGUCUUGUCCGUGGAGGAAAAACUUGCCAAGCAGUAUCACUCUUUAAAAUGCGAGCUUAACUAAACCAAGGGGGACAGCUUUACUUCAGCUGUCACAGUGCUGGUUGCUGGGAUAAUUGUUUGGCAUUACCAGGCUUAGGAAAAUAGAGGUUGAUUAUUAAAAACAGUUCGCGUGUUCUGGCGUGGCAGCAACUGUGUAUUUUAUUCUUCAGGCUUUCCCUGUGUAGAUGUAGUUUCUGCUCCUAAAUUUUGAUUUACUCAUUACAGUGGCCCUGUUGCCUGUCUGUUGCUGUUUCUGUUUGAAUUUCAAGCAUCUUUUCUGUGCUUUAUUUUUCCCUUCCCUGAUUCCACUGUCUCAUCUCUUCUGCUUCGUUCCAUCUAAGACUGCUACAUUUCAUCUGUCUGCUUUUGCUAGUGUUACAGAGCCUUGCUGUCAGCUUGCUGUGUAAAAAGUGGUGCUGUGUAGUGAGUAAGUUUGGAAAAGAGGGGGAAGAAAAGGAGAGAAGCUCUGUGAGGGAGAGAAAACAGAUCAUCUGGCAGCUGCUUGUUGGCUUUGCAAGAGAAUGAAGAUAAACCUGCACAUCCUAUUGUGACCUUUUCCCCUGCGCAGGCUGGAAAUCCCAAUCCCUAAUCUUCAUGUGCUUUUGCUUUUAAAUUAAAUAGUCCUAGUCUCUUGAAUCUCUCCUUAACAUCGGCCAACCUCAAGUCACCACCUCUGAUCACUUUCACUUCCCUGCUCUGAGCUGUUCCUGUUCUUCCCUUGAAAAGAGAUGACAGCGUGGACUACAUCAAGAUCUGCUCUAUGGAAUCUCCUGGCCACAUUUAUUGCUGGUUUUCUGGGCACUGAAAUGAACACACGUGCUCUUGAUGGUGAACUACUUGUGAUUGAAGCUCUGGCAAGUUAAGCAUGCUUGCUUUGGUUAGGAAAAAAAGGAAAUGUGGAUACUCCCCCCUGUAUUGGUGUUUAACAGCAAAUAAUAGCAGGUUAAGGGAAUCCUCUGUAGACUUGUCAGGGAGUAUUUCAAUAUCCUUAUUAAAGUCUUGUUGUGGAAUAUAUAUGAUGGAGUGUACAUUUUAAAUAUUCUUGAUGUUUUAAGAUCUUCUGGUGAGAAAAAAAUGGAAUAACAUCAGAAUAUUGUUUAACUUGCUGUGCAUCCCAGUGUGCUGUAAUUGAAUCUUUUUCUUACCUCGUCUGUCUUUUCAGUAAAAGGUUUCUGCAAAAAGAAUGGGAAAAGUAAUUCCAUCUCUACACAACUGAAUUUCUCUCAGUACGUGGAUUCACUUUGCACAGAGUUUCACUUUGCAUACUGCUCAAGCCAUGUGCUGACAAUGGUUGAAUAGAUUGCAAGCAGAUGCAAAAUGUUGUCCUUAACUCAGAGAUCCCAUCAGCCAUUCUCUUAAAUAGCCCAGGCUGCUGGGAGGAUGAAGUUUUGACAGAGCAAAGAGAUUUGCAUUGGGAUUCACUGGUGAUAUCUGAGUGGCUGAAGUCUCUGAAUGCUGGGGAUGAUUCUGUUUUGCCUUCUGAAUGAUUUGUUGAGUGUGUGUAGGACAGGCUUAGGCUCAGAUCCCUGUGGAUUUUGGGUAGGUCAGGGGAGGUGAGGCUUACAGGUACCUUAUUCUACUUCAGCCCUGAUUCACCUUCUUGUUUUAUUAGAAGGGGUAGUUGUAAAUAUCUCUAGGGACGUGUUAUAAAGCUGCAUUAAGCUAGCAUUAGCGUCUUAACGUAUUAGUAUUUAGCAUCUUGUAGCAUUAGUGUCUUGAAGGUGAUGAAAGUACUGCCCUUAAAGUGUAUGCAAUAUAAAGAGGAACAUAAAUGCUGUCUGAUUACCUGGAAAGGAUCAGGCAAAAUAAUAAAGCAUCUUCUACGUAUAAAUUCUACAGCUGAGAAAGACUUCUGUGCUGUCAGGGUGUUCUGAGUCAAGCAAAAUCAUGGAAGCAGAAUAUCAGUGGAGCCUUUAAUCACCAUGUCCAAAUUUCCAUGGCUUCUCUUCAGUCUUUUUAUUUCGAGCGUUCUUAAAAUAUCUUUCUAGGGGACACACAUUUCAUUCAUCUCUUUGGAUGCUUUAUGUAAGUGAGAUCUUCUAAUACAGUUCCUCAUCAUUUCCCCUCUGCCGUAACUGACAGUGCUAGUGUUUUUAUGACUGUUCUUUGUCGUGUUUGCUGGGGAAUGUUUUGCACAGGGCCACUGUGGCAUCUUGCAGCAUGUGGCUGUCAGGAGUGAGGUGUGCCCAGUGCUAGCUUUCUGUUGCAUGCAGGUUGGUGUUUAGGCAUAUUACAUAAACCACUUAGCCUUAAUUUCUGGAGGGAUUAGCAUCUAUUUCCCAUCUAUAAAGCACGGCUUUCUUAGGACCUCAGAUCAAAUAUUAGUGGUGUGGUUCCACCAACCUCAGUGGAGUCGCUCUGGAGGAACUCCUGUGUGACCUAGGGAAGAAGCUGUUUAGCAAGAUCUUCUGAGGCUUCAGCACACAUAAUGCAGUGUGUGAAGCAACAGCAUCGGAGCUCACGGGGUUCCAUAGAGCCUCUCAGGGAUCGAGUGCCAUUUUAUUUUUGGGCUAGCUGCCACUCUAAGCUUAUGAGGAAAAAUGAGGAAACAACUUGCGUUCCUGGUGUUUUACACCGAGUCUUCUUGGAGCUGCUUUCUGGGGAAUGUUAGUUUUUUCCUGGAGCAGGCAGUGAGUGGACACUCUGCAGAUAGCAUUGCCAGAGAUCACUGUCUAGUGCUGUGGGAGGAAAGGAGUGCACAGGGAGCCUAAAGGAGGACCCAGCACUCCAGAUGUGGUCCCACAGCCCAAAGCAGGGGGCCAGGAUCACCACCUCCAACCUGUAGAUGAUACACUGCCUAGUGCAGCCUCAGAUACCUUCUUAAUGGGAAAAACGCACUACUGACUUGGUGUCCACUAAAGAUUGCAGGUCCUUUUCUGUUUUCUGUUUGGGUAGUCCCCAAUAUGUUCUGGUGCA